AUUGAACGCUGGCGGCAGGCCUAACACAUGCAAGUCGAACGAGUGGCGGACGGGUGAGUAAUGUCUGGGAAACUGCCCGAUGGAGGGGGAUAACUAGUGGAAACGGUAGCUAAUACCGCAUACCAUCGGUUGAGCCCAGAUGUGAUUAGCGAGUAGGUGGGGUAACGGCUCACCGAGGCGACGAUCCCUAGCUGGGCUGAGGGGAUGACCAGCCACACUGGAACGGAGACACGGCCAAGACUCUUACGGGAGGCAGAAGUGGGGAAUAUUGCAAAAGGGGCGCAAGCCUGAUGCAGCCAUGCGGCGGGUAGGAAGAAGGCCUUCGGGUUUUAAAGUACUUUCAGCGAGGAGGCGUUACUCGCAGAAGAAGCACCGGCUAACUCCGUGCCAGCAGCCGCGGUAAUUC
rnacentral:rRNA from 1 species